CAGUCGCCGCGGGAAUACGUAGGGUGCGAGCGUUAAUCGGAAUUACUGGGCGUAAAGCGUGCGCAGGCGGUUGUGUAAGACAGGUGUGAAAUCCCCGGGCUUAACCUGGGAACUGCGCUUGUGACUGCACAGCUAGAGUAUGGCAGAGGGGGGUGGAAUUCCACGUGUAGCAGUGAAAUACGUAGAGAUGUGGAGGAACACCGAUGGCGAAGGCAGCCCCCUGGGCCAAUACUGACGCUCAUGCACGAAAGCGUGGGGAGCAAACAGGAUUAGAUACCCCGGUAGUCCCUGUCUCUUAUAC
rnacentral:rRNA from 1 species